rnacentral:sRNA from 1 species
GGGGGUGCAAUGGUUUCGACGGGGGCAUAGAAACAGCACAAGCGAGCCGCAGUCGCCCAGUCUGCGUACUAAGGGGCCGUUUAAAUAUAAACGCAAAAGAUAAUAAUAAUCUGGCUCUCGCUGCUUAACUGCAGCCUUUAGCCUGCCCGCUCCUGCUCACCCGCAGGUUGGAGGCCGGGUAUCGAUCAUGCGGGAAAACUCGGCGGACGCUCCCGGAUCCGUCGGGGACCUACGGGAUAGCGAAGCCGGAAGUCUGCUGAUGGACGUCCGGAACAGCGAAACCUAAAACACCAGCUGCGCUCGGAGAAACUGCUGCGGAAAUGUUUUCGGACAGGAGUUCGAUUCUCCUCAUCUCCACCA